GCACAUCUAAAAGUUACAGGACAGCGGCGCUCCAGAACUGGAGUUUGACACCUGUGAUGUAACUGAACAGGACUGAAGGCUCAUUAGCAGGUCUACAUAGGAUAAAGACCUUGUCCACAUAAAAAGCAGCCACAUCUGGACCUAUGAGGGAACGUUCUCUGCUCCUGUUCCCUACCUUUGCCCCAACAACAGUCAGUGCUGUCUGUAACAAAAAACGAACACACAGCGAUGAACGCAAGGCAACCGGUAAAAACCUCAGACGCAGCUACAAGUACAACAUCCCACCUAACAGAAGAAUAAAUCAGAAUUACAGUUUAAUUUUCUAUAAAAACACCUUGGGACGCCUGAAAUCUAAAACAAAAAAAUUUUGGUUUAAGGCUGAUUUAGUUUUCAGCUUUUGGAAAUUCAAUGAACUAAACUGCUGAGUUGAACUGAAAGUGAAUGGGGGAAGAAGUGACUAAGAAUGAGCUGAUGAAACCAGAACAAUAUGCUGAGUCACAAUUGUCAUCAGAAUAUCAAUUUUUCAAAAAUCACAAAAGCAUUGGCGGAUGUAGCAUUCGGUUAUUUUGUUAUUUUAUAAUUUAAGACACUUGCAUUUGAGCUCUUAUCCAAAUAACACAUUGUCUGGUUCCAAUGACUCACUACUGUUAACGUUAAUUUCCAUUGACAAAAUGCUUAGGUUGACAUGAAGUGAUACCAUUAGACAGUUCUUUGAGACGUUCAGUGCUGCUUUCACAACGUGAAAGCAAAUAAACCUCUUAAGGUCAUCAACAUUUAAGUCUGGAAUAUUAAUACAACAUCAGCUCUUUAAUGGAUUGAACCUUGCGGUACCCCGCAUCUGACAUCUGUCCACCUUGAUGAGAAGUUACCUACUGAAACAAAUAAAUAUCUGUGCUUUAUGUAAGAUUCAAACCAGUUGAAUACUGGACCACAGAGUCGGGCCCAACUCUCAGUCGAUUCAGUAACAUGUCAUGAUCUGCCUGUAAUUCUGCAGUAGUGAUUUGUCCAGAUUGUUCUUCAGUGGUUUGAUAACUGCUGUUUUCAAAGUCCGGGGGAAAACACCUGAUGAGAGGGAAGAGUUACUACUUUAAUCAGGUCAUUAGCAAUGACAGGCAAGACUAUUUUAAGAAAAUGGGUAGGAAGGAAUGUAAGCUAUAAAGACAGGCCUAUUGACCAAUCCAAAUUCUUUUUGAGAUAUAUCUGUUAUUGUUGUUCAUAAAACACUCAUAGGUAUGCCAUUCACAAUUACUAUGGAGUAACUGGCUUAUCAAAUUUAUAUUUUUAUCAACCCAGCUAGGUAGAAGUAAUGGUUUGUUUUUAUGCAGCAACAGAACCUGCUGAUGAAACUUAGCUAAUUUGACUGGAUAUUUUCUAACUUAAAAAUUACAACACAACAACAAAUUUAGACACCCUAGUUUGCUGAACAGAUGAUUUGGGAAAAUAUUCCACAUGAAAGUUAAAUUGUAUUAUUAUUUUUAUUUAUUUAUUUAUUUAUUUAUUUAUUUUUAAUUCUUAAUGCAAUUAAUUUCUACUAUUUGAUUAAAGACAGUGUAACGAGUAUUAAAGAUACAAAUGAAAUUCCUGCUAAAAUAUUCUUCAUAGUUGUCCUGUAGUGGGUGGUUUUUGGCGCCCCCUACUGGUUGCGUAUAAAUUAGAUGAGAAACCGAGAAUUCCACGCAGUCUGUUCAGCGAUCUGCUGUGGUAAGUCAACAAAUCCGGUUCUCUUCUGAGUGAUGUUGGAGGUUUGUUCAAAGGGUAACUUGGAGGUUUGUUACAGUAUGCAGAUAGAUAAGUUGGCGAGUAGGGAGGCUAACUGCGCCAUUUGUCUUUGUCAUCCACCAAUUGCAGGUCAUUAUGUUACAUUAAAUGUCAGUAAUUUAUGUAGUCAGUUAUGUUUGUCAGUUUGUCAUUUAUGUUAGCCAGUUUGUUUUUUUAUUUGUUUCUAUGACGACAUGACAUGGCCAGGUUUAUUUUCUGCUAAUCACCAGAGGGCGCUCUCAAGUAAUUUAAUGAUUAAUUUUGACUGUAUUUAUUUUUCUAAUUUAUUUUUUUUUUUAAAACAAAUUGUAUUCAAUAGAUUUUUUUUAAAUUGAUUUGUGUUCUGAAACCAUUAUAUGAUCACAUGUCACGGAAAAUAUUUUGUUGGAACUCAGCUCUGCUGUGAUAGAUAAGUUGACCAGUAGGGAGGCUAACUGCGCCAUUUGUGUUUGUCAACCACCAAUUGCAGUAAAUCAUCUAAAAUCCAACUGACUGGCCUCCGCUGUGUGCAUGAUGGGACGAGUAAGAGGAGCCGUCACAUAUGACAUAAAUGGCCAUGGAAGAAAACAAAGAGCUAAAGACUCAACUUGCAGAGAUCAAGCUUGAAUACGACAAGCGGUUUAAGGAAAUGGACAAGGAAAUUGUCAAAUUGUUUCAAGAAAACAAGGCACUGGAGCAAAAAGUGCAACAGCUGACCGAAAAGCUGAAGAAAAUAGAGAAGGAAAAGGAAAGGCAGCUGGAUUCAGACCAGCCACGGAGUAACAUGCGUCUCUUAAAAUAUUUCACCAUGGGCUUCGGCAUAGGCCUUGCAUGUGUUGCAGUACUCGAGACAGGUCUUGAUGUCGAGAUAGGUUUCAAGACCACUUCUUGAUGGUCUUGGUCUCUGCCAUUGAGGACCAGUGACGUGCGGGUCAGGGGAGGCUGUCAUCAUGGAAAAAUAUAUAAUAAUAAAAUCAUUUAUAUUGCUA